UACGUAGGGGGCAAGCGUUGUCCGGAUUUAUUGGGCGUAAAGCGCUCGCAGGUGGUUCGAUGCGUCGUGCGUGAAAGACCCCGGCUCAACUGGGGAGGGUCGUGCGAUACGGUCGAACUGGAGGCCAGUAGGGGGAUGCGGAAUUCCGGGUGUAGUGGUGGAAUGCGCAGAUAUCAGGAAGAACACCAAUGGCGAAAGCAGCUUUCUGGGACGGUACUGACGCUGAGACGCGAAAGCGUGGGGAGCGAACAGG
rnacentral:rRNA from 1 species